GUUACACUCGAGAGGUGGCAUGGUGGCGCUGAUGCUAAUCGGCACCCAAAAAUUACAUGGGCACCCAGACAUGUUUAGAAAUGACAGCGCCACCAUGCCAUCUGUCGAGUGAAAAUAAAUAACUUAAAAAAUCAAGUUCAGACGAU